UUUUGUUUUUAAAAGACCUUCUUACGAAGGUAUGCUUAAAGAGGGGCUUGCGCCACAUUAGUUAGUUGGUAGAGUAAAAGCCUACCAAGACGAUGAUGUGUAGCUGGACUGAGAGGUUGAACAGCCACAUUGGGACUGAGACACGGCCCAAACUCCUACGGGAGGCAGCAGUAGGGAAUUUUCGGCAAUGGAGGAAACUCUGACCGAGCAACGCCGCGUGAACGAUGAAGUAUUUCGGUAUGUAAAGUUCUUUUAUUGAAGAAGAAAAAGUAGUGGAAAAACUAUAUUGACGUUAUUCAAUGAAUAAGCCCCGGCUAACUAUGUGCCAGCAGCCGCGGUAAGACAUAGGGGGCGAGCGUUAUCCGGAAUUAUUGGGCGUAAAGGGUGCGUAGGCUGUUAGAUAAGUCUAUAAUUUAAUUUCAGUGCUUAACGCUGUCUUGUUAUAGAAACUGUCUUGACUAGAGUGAGAUAGAGGCAAGCGGAAUUCCAUGUGUAGCGGUAAAAUGUGUAAAUAUAUGGAGGAACACCAGAAGCGUAGGCGGCUUGCUGGGUCUUUACUGACGCUGAGGCACGAAAGCGUGGGUAGCAAACAGGAUUAGAUACCCUGGUAGUCCACGCCGUAAACGAUGAGUACUAAGUGUCGGGGUAAAACUCGGUACUGAAGUUAACACAUUAAGUACUCCGCCUGAGUAGUACGUACGCAAGUAUGAAACUUAAAGGAAUUGACGGGACUCCGCACAAGCGGUGGAUCAUGUUGUUUAAUUCGAAGAUACACGAAAAAUCUUACCAGGUCUUGACAUACUCUGCAAAGCUAUAGAAAUAUAGUGGAGGUUAUCAGGGAUACAGGUGGUGCAUGGUUGUCGUCAGUUCGUGUCGUGAGAUGUUAGGUUAAGUCCUAAAACGAACGCAACCCUUGUCGUUAAUUGCCAGCACAUAAUGGUGGGGACUUUAACGAGACUGCCAAUUAAACAUUGGAGGAAGGUGAGGAUUACGUCAAAUCAUCAUGCCCCUUAUGAUCUGGGCUACAAACGUGAUACAAUGGCUGUGACAAAGAGUAGCUGAAACGCGAGUUUUUAGCCAAUCUCAAAAAAGCAGUCUCAGUUCGGAUUGAAGUCUGUAACUCGACUUCAUGAAGUUGGAAUCGCUAGUAAUCGCGAAUCAGCAUGUCGCGGUGAAUACGUUCUCGGGGUUUGUACACACCGCCCGUCAAACCACGAAAGUUAGCAAUGCCCGAAAGCAGUAGCUUAACUUCGCAAGAAGAGGGAACUGUCUAAGGUAGGGUUGAUGAU
rnacentral:rRNA from 1 species